rnacentral:rRNA from 1 species
CUACGGGUUGCUGCAGUGAGGAAUAUUGCACAAUGGGGGGAACCCUGAUGCAGCAACGCCGCGUGGAGGAUGACGCAUUUCGGUGUGUAAACUCCUUUUAUAUGUCAAGAAAAUGACGGUAGCAUAUGAAUAAGCACCGGCUAACUCCGUGCCAGCAGCCGCGGUAAUACGGAGGGUGCAAGCGUUACUCGGAAUCACUGGGCGUAAAGGACGCGUAGGCGGGUUGGAAAGUCAGGUGUGAAAUCCUACAGCUUAACUGUAGAACUGCACUUGAAACUUCUAAUCUAGAGUAUGGGAGGGGGAGAUGGAAUUGGUGGUGUAGGGGUAAAAUCCGUAGAUAUCACUAGGAAUACCUAAAGCGAAGGCGAUCUCCUGGAACAUUACUGACGCUAAGGCGUGAAAGCGUGGGGAGCAAACAGGAUUAGAUCCCCCGGUAGUC